rnacentral:rRNA from 1 species
AGUCGAGCGGCAGCGCAGGGCAACCUGGCGGCGAGCGGCGAACGGGUGAGUAAUACAUCGGAACAUGUCCUGUCGUGGGGGAUAGCCCGGCGAAAGCCGGAUUAAUACCGCAUACGUCCGAGAGGAGAAAGUGGGGGACUCGCAAGGGCCUCACGCGAUUGGGUUGGCCGAUGUCCGAUUAGCUAGUUGGUGGGGUAAAGGCCUACCAAGGCGAUGAUCGGUAGCUGGUCUGAGAGGAUGAUCAGCCACACUGGGACUGAGACACGGCCCAGACUCCUACGGGAGGCAGCAGUGGGGAAUUUUGGACAAUGGGGGCAACCCUGAUCCAGCCAUUCCGCGUGAGUGAAGAAGGCCUUCGGGUUGUAAAGCUCUUUUGUCCGGAACGAAACGGUGCACGUGAAUAUCGUGCGCUACUGACGGUACCGGAAGAAUAAGCACCGGCUAACUACGUGCCAGCAGCCGCGGUAAUACGUAGGGUGCGAGCGUUAAUCGGAAUUACUGGGCGUAAAGCGUGCGCAGGCGGUUUUGUAAGCCAGAUGUGAAAUCCCCGGGCUUAACCUGGGAAUGGCAUUUGGGACUGCAAGGCUCGAGUGCGGCAGAGGAGACUGGAAUUCCUGGUGUAGCAGUGAAAUGCGUAGAUAUCAGGAGGAAUACCGAUGGCGAAGGCAGGUCUCUGGGCUGACACUGACGCUCAUGCACGAAAGCGUGGGGAGCAAACAGGAUUAGAUACCCUGGUAGUCCACGCCCUAAACGAUGUCGACUGGUUGUUUGGGGGGUUUGACACUCUCAGUAACGAAGCUAACGCGUGAAGUCGACCGCC